UUCACUUUAUUUGCAGACUAUAAGUCUUUUUGUUUUUUCGUGCUACGCCUGAAGAGGUGACUGUUACAUUCAAAAAGGAAAAUUUGCUUCCGGCUUGUUGGGAUCAGUUUAGCUCGUCUGAUCUGUCGAGAGUCUCUUGCUCAUCGACCUUGAAGUUCGUACUUGUACUGCUCUUAUCGUUCUGUACAUGCAAGAAUCGGUCAGCAUUGGCCGAUGGAGGAAGAAGGCCUUCAAAUAAAGUAUCUCAAUUUUACAAAAUGCACUAUAGAACCACUGGUUGACUACUGAUAGAAGAGCAAUCUGCAGAGAAUUUGUUUAAAAUCCCACAAUUUUCUCUGCAAAUUGGAUCGCUAAUUAUGCAUAUUGCUUUCUAUGAGGAACUCACUGAAUGGAAAGACUCCAGAUGGGUUGCAUGAUGUUUGUGGCGUUGCCCGCUGAUAGACAUUAUUAGUAGUAAAACCUUUAAUAACAUUGAUCUUUGGGCAAAAAAAGGACUUGAUUGAUAUUUUUGCUAUGAAUUACACAUCAAAGAACAAGAAGAAAUAAGAGACAAAAUAGCAAUUUGUCCAUUACAACCUCUCUGAUAAUGAAAGAAGAAGAAUAAGGAACAGAAGCAGAGAGAGAAAAAGGAGUCGUCCCUCAAAUCAACCGCCAAAUUGCCGAAGUCAUGACUUGCAUCAACAUCUCUCCGGCGAAUUUCAGGACCUCCGGUCGGACAAACAUUGCCCAUAGACCCACUACCGCAAGCACUAUUUCUGUUCCCAAGCUCAUCAUUUGUGUUUUGCGAGUGCGCAUUACGUGUUCGUCAAAAUUAGCGAUAGGGGAAGGAAUAUCUAGGACAUUUGUAUCUCAACCACAUGAUCCCUCCCUCAGUAAGGUUUCGAGUGACUAUGCCACAACACCAACCACCAACUAUCAUUCUUACCAGCCAUUCUGUUACCUUGUUUUUUUUCUUGCUUUCAUCCUUAAUCAGUCUACGUUAUAAUUUUUAUAUUAUUAUUUAGCGUCUACUCAAUUUUAAUUCAUUACGUAACGUAUCAAUUAUUACAUAAUUUAUUCUAUUAAAUUUUAAUUGAAAAUUAAAUUCAAAAUCUUGUAUAGGCUGAGUAUUGGUAAAUUUAAGCUGCGCAGCCAUCGCUGAGUU
rnacentral:lncRNA from 1 species